CGCGACUUGAACGGAUUGUGAUGUUCAACUGAAAAUAUUUAUUCAAUAUGUUGACGUUCGAUGCUCGCCGCUUGGUCGAUUUCGAGCGAUCUGCGCUGGUGUGUGUGCGUGUGAGCCGCCGCACGGGUGCGCCUGUGUGGUUGGUGCUCAAUUUACGCCAAGAAGAGAACCAACGAAUUGUGCGAGUGUUAUAUGUGAGCUUGUACACUGCGCAAAACGGAUAAAAAGAUCUUACAGUCUAAUGCUCGCUGAAACGAGAGUAGGGUGCAACGGAAAAUAAACAUAAUCUGUGGGGGGAGGUGUUUGGGGAUGUGUGGGACUAGCCCAGUCUCAGGGGCCCCUGAUGACUCAAUUGGCGCCGGCUCCUUGUGAAUGAAGCGACGCGAACUGGUCGGAGCUCUGGGCACCAAAAGGAAAUCUUCGCUGCGAGCUACUUGCCUUGUCCUAGCCUGCAAUUGGCCAAGGUGAACCGGAUCGGAUGUCGUGUGCAUGUGCAUGUGAACAGCGUUUUGGCGCUCUUCAACAUUGUCAGUGUCAAUUAUUUGAGAACCAAAGAGACGUCGGGACCUUGAACUUAUCGCCAAGUCUAAUGCAAAUGAUGACUAAAAGGCGUGCGCCGGAAAACAAUUGCUUUUUAGAAAUUUUUAGAAAUUGCACGCGCGCUGGCAGAUCACACAAAUCUUUUAAUUUUAAUUCAAGGGCAACUAUUUUAAUAGGGUCGGCACGACAGCUGCACAAAGGAAUUGGACAUAGACAUAUAUUGUGUGUAGUUUAAGAAUAUAAAAAAGUAUA